rnacentral:rRNA from 1 species
GAGUUUGAUCAUGGCUCAGAGUGAACGCUGGCGGCGUGCUUAACACAUGCAAGUCGAACGGAUGAAAUAAGCUUGCUUAUUUCGUUAGUGGCGCACGGGUGAGUAAUGUAUAGCUAACCUGCCCUUUAGUGGGGGACAACAGAUGGAAACGUCUGCUAAUACCCCAUACUCCUGCGUAUCAUAAGAUACGUUGGGAAAGAUUUAUUGCUAAAGGAUGGGGCUUUAUGGUAUCAGCUAGUUGGUGGGGUAACGGCCUACCAAGGCAAUGACGCCUACCUGGUCUGAGAGGAUGAUCAGGCACACUGGAACUGAGACACGGUCCAGACUCCUACGGGAGGCAGCAGUGGGGAAUAUUGCACAAUGGGGGAAACCCUGAUGCAGCAACGCCGCGUGGAGGAUGACGCAUUUCGGUGUGUAAACUCCUUUUAUAAGGGAAGAUAAUGACGGUACCUUAUGAAUAAGCACCGGCUAACUCCGUGCCAGCAGCCGCGGUAC